GCACUGAAACAUUGAAUUGAGAGCAAUCAGCUGACACUCAAUAACGCGAAAACAAAACGUGUGCAAGUGUGCGCGAGCGAAACGCAAAUAUCCGAAUACGCGACGAGUGCUGAAGCAAUCAGCUGACAAGAACAAGAAAACAAAAAACGUGUGCGCGAGAGAAGCGGUAAUUUCCGAAUACUCCACGUGUUACGCGGUGCACUCCAGCCUUAUUUCUGUCGUACUAAGCGCGAGAAAGCAUCGGCAUUAAUGAGCCCGUUCCAGCAGUCUACCAUUGCACCAUCGU
rnacentral:lncRNA from 1 species